CCAUAGGUAGGGGAAAGUGGGGGAAACGCGAACGCUGGGUAAUGCCGAAUUCAAUGGUUCUAAUAUGUUAGAAAGAUAUAUCCUAAUUUUAUUUGCCGCCAUUUCGGAGAUCACGCCACCACUGAUACCAGUCAAUAACACGGGAGACGCGGACGUACGUACUUAAAAAGAUGCCUUGUACAAAAGAAAGACCGAACUGAAGUAUAGUUUAGAAGAUCUCAAAAAGGCUAUAGACGAUGUUAAAACAAAAAAACUCUCCCUGCGUAAACAUAUAAUGUUUCAAAAACCACUAAUUUUGACCAUCUAAUGAAAGAAGUGUUAAUACAGCCAUGGUCUGGAUGAAAACCUUUAUUUACAGACAAUCAGGAAACGUAAGAAAUCAAGAAGAAAACGGAAAGAUGGCAAAAAAGGAACCCAAAUAAAAAGACUGAAAUGUAAUGAGAGAACACCUUCAAGCAAGAAGUAUGAAAGAUUAUUAAAGAAUUUGAACAAUAUAAAAAAAGACUUUAGUGACUCUAGUCAAAAUACGAAAAAAAAAAGAAAAAUGCGAAAAAGAAAAUUAAGACUACUUUUGUAUUUUUUGUAGAGAUAAAUAUAUUGAUCCUCCCGUUGAAGACUAGAUUGUGUGCUAUGUGUGCAAAAGAUGGGCUCACGAGAGUUGUACUGACGGACAGUCAACAUCGUUGGGUUUUAAAUGUGGUGUGAUCUAUGUCUUUAUUAAUGUUAGUUCGUAAUCACCCCACUUGGUGUUCGUAUUUACCCGACUGAUGUCGGGCAAAGCCGAACACUAAGGGUUUUGUUUUUCUUUCAUAUUGUUGCAAUUUAUUAAAAAAAUAUAAAUGAUGAUUAGUGAAUAAGUUAGACAGAUAAGUAAACUUUGUAAUAAAAAAAAUUUAAAAAAUCUGUGAUUAAA